rnacentral:lncRNA from 1 species
AGGUGACUUUAACUCGCAUUUUUUUUUCUUUCUUUAUUGCAGGUCAGUUUCUCUGGGAGCAAUGGAGUUUGGAUUAUAAGAUGCUUACUGCUGUAGCACUGGGGAUUGAGCCCAGGCCUUCACAGGAGGGCAAGCCCUUGGCUGAGGUCGCUCCGCACCGCCAGGGCCAACCUGAAGGAGCAGAUGGCCAGCACUGAAGGUCUGCAGCAAGGGUCCUUCCUCCUGGGGGGACCUGGGUGACAUCUGCGCCACCACCCGCCACCGGCACCUCUUGGAGACUCUUCUUGGUGUGCAUCCUGGGAUGCACUUCAGUGAGAUUCCAGGGCACUGUCUCCAUUCCCAAGGGAAGCAGAAGAGAAAAGUUCCUAAGAGGAGUUAAAGCUUGAGCACCAUCACCCAUCUCCACAGCACUCUACAUUUCCUGUGGCCCAGUCUCUUUGCACCCCCUGCUCCUCCUUACAGUAAAUUCUGGUCUUAGCAUCCCAUUGUCCUCAGUAAGCCUCAUUUUGGACCAGCUCCUCCUCCAUCGGCCCUGGCAUGCAGAGGGGAGCCACCUCGAG